rnacentral:sRNA from 1 species
UUUUAGCCCCGAUAGAGCCGGUAUCCUUUUUUUGCCGGAGGAACGAAGGCAGAAAAAGAUAAAGGCGAUAGCGGGAAAUGGC